GGGAUGUUACAGUCUUCAUCUUGUACAAAUUGAAAUCGUUUUUUGUCUUCAUCUUGUAGAAACUGAAAUCAUAUUUUGUCUUCAUCUUGUACAAAUUGAAAUCUUUUUUCAAUCUUAAAAUCUUCAUUUCCAUUGAGCUUGUGUUUGGUUCUGCUUCAUCUUGGUCCGGUUUAUUGGUUCUUAAUCAACCCAUUUCCAAAACUUAGAACUUUUCUUAUUUGGAUCCUUCAUAUUCAGAAAAAAAAAUCAGGUAAUGAAGAAAUUAUUUAGGAGAAAGGUAAGAUAAAGCUUUCAAACACACUUACCAAAGAGUAAGGACAAACCCUAACUUUCUGUCAGGAUUGGCCUUGGUGGUUGAUGACCACGUUCGAGCAAUGUACCCACAAUCACAAAGCUUCCCAUCUUCAAGUGUCCUCUUUGAUUUGGAAAUGUUGGUGCUUGACUUGGAGAUCAUGGAUUUAAAGGAAGAAGAAGAAGCCAUAAAAGAAGGAAGAAGUCGUUCACAGAGGAGGAGAUUUUUGUCACAGUUCAUUUCAUUAAAAAUGGGUUAUAUAACUGAAAAUAUUCUAUUGUUAUGACAACUAAGCAAUCUACAUGUCAAAUAUAAUGCCAAGUCAACCAUUAACUAAACUACCGGAUUACCAUGGUUAAGAUAAGAACAAAACAUGAUGUUAGAUGUUAUUUUUAUAUAAAUUCAUUAGUUUAUUGGUAUUUUUUAUACUAAAAAAAUACAAUAAUAUUUUUAAAACUUUGUUACCUUUUCAAAUCAAUGGUAAUCUACUCUAUAUUUUACUAUUUUAUGCAAAUUAAAGGGAAAUUCCCUUUCCUGUGCGUCAGCAUUUAUGCAUGGCUUAAAAGCUGCGUCGUGAGAAGUAUAAAAUCCCCAACCGAUACCAUACCAUAGCUGUAGCCCAGAAAAUCUUCCCUCUCUCAUUUUUCUUGUUUCUCCCAUUAUCUUCGAAACAUUUACAUCAUAUCACCGCCAAUACACACUUCAGCAUCGAAUCUUCCAACCACAGAACACCCACCUUUCGCCCAACGCCAUCUUCAUGUUUCCUCAUCACUCUCUAUCUAGAUGGAUACAAAUUCUCUGUAUAAAUAACAAGAAACGUUUUAGGUUUUGAUUUUCUUGAUAAAAAGAUGAAGAACAUUAGAUCGUGUGAAGAGAUCGGCAUUCUGCAACACGAUUUGGUAAGACGUGAACCCUUACUUGUUUUUCUCUAAUUCGUGCUUGUGUUUCGUCAAUUUCUACGUAAACCUACUUCAGUUUUCGAUGGAUUUUUGUUGAUUUGAGUUUUAUAAAAUCUUAAGCUCAAUUUGAAAUCAAUUGUUUCAACAAUGAAAAAACUGCAUUCUUUUCAUGAAUCUUAUACGACAUUUCACAAAAUGAUUCAGUGUGAGUAGGAUUUUCUUUACUCUAGUUAUUCUCUUGUUCUCUUUUGUUACUAAUUUCCCCCAAAAACAUGCUUGUGUUUGUUUUUUAUCCUCAAUUUUACUUUCUCAAACAGGUCUUAAUGAAUUGAACCUUAAUGGAGACACGAUUUAAUGAACUUAAUGGAGACUCUCUUUCUUUACUUAAAUCAAAGAGAAAUUCAAAAUAAAGGAGCUUUUUAUAGUUAACCCUCAACAUUAUAAUCAUUUGAUCAAAGCUCAAAUUUAUUUUAUUUAAUUAUAAAGUAAAACCUUGCAUGUGUAUGGAGGGUAUUCAGAUUCCUUUCACUAAUAAGUUUGUUAGCUUAAAAGAACAUAACAAAUAGUUGUGUCCCAAUUUUAUAAAAGCAAACAGUUAUUAUCAGUUGUCUCCAUUUAUUAUGCCAAAUUUUCAAUACUCAAAAUUUCAAACUUAAUGUCAAGGGGACUAAGUAAUCGAAGCAUGGUUUGAGGCUUGUAUUUUUCAACUAGAAAUCAUUCUAUUCCUUUUGGAGUGUUAAAUUCCUUGCAUUGUUUGAUGAAAAUUUGGUUCUUAAAGUUGAAUUAUUUCACCAUUAUGAUGGAGAAUGUUACAACUGCUUUUCUUAAACCAUGAUUUACAAUGACUAGAAUGAGUAACUAAAUUUCAACAUGAAUUGCAGGAUGAGUUACAAAAAUCAGACAUGCAUGCAGAUGAUUACAAAAACACAUCAGCUAUACUUAGAACAAGACUCGAAAGACUGUUGAAGGAAAGAGAGUUAAGAAAAUCUUCCAGGAGUACUCAAACUGAUGAUUUUCAUGGAAAUGAUAAUAGUAGUAAUAAUAAUAACAAUAAUAAUACGAUUGGGAAUCGUAAAAUAUUUUCAACAGGGACCCAUCCUGAUGAAGAAUUACGAAUUCACCCUCCAACAAACAGUCAACGUUUAUUAGUAGUAGCAAAUCGUCUACCUGUUUCUGCCACUAGAAAGGGUGAUGCAUCAUGGCAACUUGAAAUGAGUGUUGGGGGUUUAGUCAGUGCACUUUUAGGUGAGGUUUUUUUUUUUUUUACUAAUGGUUGAUUAUCAGGGAAAAUUGCAGUAAAUAGUAACAUAUUAUUAUUUCUUUUCUAAACACCAUUAAAAUAACCAAAUUAAGUGCUAUCUAGAUAAAGUGUUUUCCUUAUGUUUAUAUUUGAAAAGAUUCUAAAGGGGGAAAACUUUGAUAAAGGUAUAACUGAAUUUGAAACAAGAUGGAUCGGAUGGGCUGGAGUAAAUGUAACUAAUGAAAUCGGGAAGAAAUCACUCACCAAAGCUUUAGCUGACAAGGUUGACUGUAUGUAUAUUUAUUUAUAAAGGGUUAAAAAAAAACAACCUUCAUAGCAUCCUACUCUCAUUUCUUUCUAUUAUAGAUUGUGUAUAUAUAAACGGUUAAAUGAAGAAAAUCGCAACGUUUAUAGCAUCCUACUUUUGUGAGUAGAUUUUUAAAAAUCCAAUGCCUUAAUAAGAAGAAAAAAAAACCAAAAGUACAAUGAUAUAAAAAAUACAAUGCGUUUUUAUAAGAGAAAAACUAAAUUAGAAUGUUGUAAUAGAAAGAAAUGGAAGUAUGAUGCUAUAACACGCAAAUAAAUUAAAGCACGUUGCUAUUCUUCCAUUUAUUCAUGUUUAAAGAAGAUGUGUUAAUAUUUUGAAGAAAAAAAAAACAAGGUUGUUACUCUAGCAAUUGUUGGUAUGCAGAGGUGUGUCCCGGUUUUUCUUGACGAAGAUCUUGUUAAUCUGUAUUACAACGGAUAUUGUAAUAAUAUCUUAUGGCCUCUCUUCCAUUACCUUGGUCUCCCACAAGAGGAUCAUCUUGCUACUACUCGUAGUUUUCAAUCUCAAUUUGAUGCUUACAAGAAAGCUAAUCAGUUGUUUGCUGAUGUGGUGAGUGAGCAUUAUAUAGAAGGGGGUGUCAUUUGGUGUCAUGAUUACCAUUUGAUGUUUCUACCUAAAUAUUUGAAAGAACGUAAUAAUAAGAUGAAAGUUGGUUGGUUUCUACACACACCGUUUCCUUCCUCCGAGAUUCAGAGAACACUCCCUUCCCGAUCUGAGCUGCUACGAGCCGUUCUUGUAGCCGAUCUUGUUGGGUAAAGACUUACAUUCUAAAAUUUGUUCCGUAAAAAUAUUAGCCCCUUUCAGCCUCAAUCACUACUUUCAUCCCUAAGGCUAUGUUUGUUACACUAUGUCCUAGACAGUCUGGCGGGAAGACGACUCAGAACAGACAGUCUGCCUUUUGGGCAGACUAUCUGGCUUGGGCAAAAAGUCUGCCCUGUCCCGUGUCCUGUCCUGGACAGAUGGGCAGACUGUCUGUCUGUCCCGUCCUGGAGUCUAUCUUGGAUGGGACACACGUUUGUUUUGGACGGGACAGACAGUGUAUGGACAAAUUGUCAGUCCUAUGCCUAACGGAGAUAGUAUUGAUGCUAACAUGUGCUAUAUAUAUGUCAGCUUCCACACUUAUGAUUAUGCAAGGCACUUUGUGAGUGCAUGUACUCGAAUUCUUGGCCUUGAGGGUACUCCUGAUGGAGUGGAGGAUCAAGGGAAACUUACUCGUGUUGCUGCGGUAAAUUACUUGAUCAUCUUUCGUUUAUAUAUANNUAUAUAUAUAUAUAUAUAUUCAGUUAUAUAUAUUUUGUUAUGUUUUAUGAGCACAAAACUUAGAAUCUUGAAGCAGCUACUGAUUCAGAUUCAUAUAUUGGGUUUUGAAAGCACAGUUUCCUAUUGGGAUAGAUCCUGGUAGGUUUAUACGAGCAAUUCAACUUCCUCAAAUCAAAGAACAUAUAAAAGAAUUGGAGGAGAGAUUUGCUGGUCGAAAGGUAAAUCAUAAUCUACCUGUGUAUGCACUACCAAAACAAAUCUUUUUCAAGGGAUGCAAUACAAUAUGGAAUUUUCAAAUUUUCAAUAAUUUGUUACACUACAAAAAAACUAAAAGUUUCUUUUCAGGGUAUGCACAUGCAUAUCUUGGCAUUUCUCAUUGGUUUUUUUUUUAUAUGAAGGUAACGUUAGGAGUCGAUCGCCUUGACAUGAUUAAGGGAAUUCCACAAAAGAUUUUGGCAUUUGAAAAAUUCUUGGAAGAAAAUCCGGAUUGGCAUGACAAAGUGGUGUUGCUUCAGAUUGCAGUGCCAACAAGAACAGAUGUUCCCGAGUGUAUGCUUUCAAUCAUUUUAAGGGUUAAAUGCAAGAAAUAACAACAUACUUUUGUUUAUUUGUUUAUUUAUUAUUUAUAAGAUCUUACUUUUAUUUUAUCCUAUUACAACAUUGUAAUUUGAAAUAGCUACCCAGUUAAAAUGCUAAAAUUGGGUAGGAUUUUUAAAGUACAAUGCCUUAAUAAUAAAAAGAUUGAAAUUAUAUUAUUCUACUGGAAAGAAAUGAAAGUAGGAUGCUAUGAUACACAAAUAAAUAAAAGUAUGUUGCUAUUUCUUUUUUCCUUUAUGAUUAAUGGAUCAAUUAUCGAAGCAUGAAACUCGUGUCAUUUCUAUUUUUGUUCUUUGUGGAUUAACAGAUCAAAAGCUCACAUGUCAAGUUCAUGAAAUUGUUGGAAGAAUUAAUGGAAGAUUUGGGAGCCUUACAACUGUCCCUAUUCAUCAUUUGGUUUGUCUUUUCUUUUAAUUGAAAAACAUCUUGUUGAAUCUUGAGUUAAAACACAAGAUAUUGAUUCAAUGUAUAAUGGUUGAUUAUUAUAUUAUCAAGAAAUAUCUUAAAACUUGAAUAAUUUGUAUUCGAUCCCCCCCUCCCCCCUACAAAUACUGUUAUACCUUUGGGAGCAAUACUAAUAAGAGUACACUCAUGCAAAUGGGAGAAAAAGGUUAAUUAAACUACAAAAUACAAGAUGAUGAUUGUGUGAAAGAUUCUUCUCUUCUUGUAGAUGCAUCAAUAGAAUAAUAUCCCAUGAUUUUUUAGCCUUGAAAUCUGUGAUUCCUUUUCUUUAUACAGGAUCGCUCUCUUGACUUUCAUGGAUUAUGUGCAUUAUACGCCAUUACGGGUAUGCUUUAACCCCUACCAAAUCAUGUGUUAUGCUGUUUGAAUGCAAGAAAUAACGUACUUUUAUUUAUUUGUCUAUUAUAACAUCUCACUUUCAUUUCUUUCUAUUACAACAUUGUAUUUCCUUUUUUUUUUCUUAUUAACAUAUUCUACUUUGAAAAGAUACCCAAUUAUAGCUUUAUACUUUCAAUUUUUUUGAAAUGGAAGUAGGAUACUAUAGCACAUAAAUAAUUGAAAGUAGUUUGCUCUUUCUUGCAUUUUAACCCUAUGUUAUGCACUUGUACUUUACUCAUAGAUGCUAAACUAUGCUUCUUUCUCCCUUUAAAAGUCUCAAUUAACAAGUCCUUUUUUGCUACCUAACACAAUCAUAUUUUCUCGAAUUGGUGGAUAAAGUGAUAUACAAUUUUUUUUUACAUAGAUGUGGCUCUUAUUACAUCAUUAAGGGAUGGAAUGAAUCUUGUGAGUUAUGAAUUUGUAGCUUGUCAAGCUUCAAAGAAAGGCGUUCUAAUCUUAAGUGAGGUAUUUAUUCCUAAUUGUUAUUCAAUCACUACAAAAAGAUAGUCAAGUGGGUAAAUUGAAAAAAAAAAUUGGUAAAAGUACAUUGUUAGUUUUCUUUUCUCUAUUUUUCCAAAAAAAAAAAAAGUAAGUGCAUAGUUAUUAAACAUUACAAUUUUCAUGGAAGGGAUGAAGUAGUAAUUUGUAUGUUUCAUACACAUAGUUUGCAGGAGCAGCACAAUCUCUAGGUGCAGGGGCAAUUUUGGUAAAUCCAUGGAACAUUACAGAAGUAGCUUCUUCAAUUGGUUAUGCUCUAAAUAUGCCUGCUGAGGAAAGGGAAAAAAGACACCACCAUAACUUUGUCCAUGUCACUAGUCAUACAUCCCAAGAAUGGGCUGAAACAUUUGUUAGGUAUGCAUCUUAUUUGUUUACCAAAUAUUAUCAAUUCACUUUAUUUUUUUAUCAAUUAAAUAAAUGUAAAUGUAAGCAUGUGGUUUAUUUAUUGUCUUGAUGUGUAGUGAAUUGAAUGAUACAAUUGUGGAAGCUCAAUUGAGGAUUAGACAAAUUCCACCUCUACUUGAAACAAAUGAAGCAGUUGACCGAUAUUUGGAUUCGAACAACCGUUUACUCAUUUUGGUAUUCUCUCCCUUUAAAUUAAAUACAAAAAAAAAUGUUGUUCUAAAAUUAGUUUGUAUACUUUCAACUUCAUAGGGGUUUAAUUCAACACUGACUGAACCUAUGGAUACGGGUAGACAAUUCGAUCAAUUCAAAGAAAUGGAACCCAGACUACACCCUGAAGCAAAAGAAGCUUUAAAGAGACUUUGUGAUGAUCCAAAGACUACAGUAGUCAUCUUAAGUGGAAGCCAUCAUUCUGUCCUUGAUAAGGUAUUAAAUGUAGACCUGGCAAUUUCAGACACGAAGACACGAAUCUGUGAGAGACACGACACGACACGAAUACAUCUUAAAAAUUGAGAUAAAGCUUAUUUCUCAUUGUGUAAUCAUAUCGUGUCAAAUUUGUGGCUGACACGAAUAAACGAAUUGCCAGGUCUAAUUAAAUGCAAGAAAUAGGCAUCUCAUAUCAUUAGCAAAUAAAAUGUUGGUGUUUUAUUUGAUGAAUAUGCAGAACUUUGGAGAAUUAAACAUAUGGUUAGCUGCUGAACAUGGAGUAUUUUUAAGAACACCCAAUAAAAAAUGGACAAGAAACAUGCCUCAAGUACACAUGGAUUGGGUUGAUAGUGUCAAGGUCAGUCCAUUCAGCCAACAUUUCCCCUUUUCGAUAUCAUCAUGAGCAUGUGCCACAAACCCUAAACACUUUUGUCUAAAAUUUAAACUGUUUAUAAAUAUUUAGUGUGUGUUGAAUAUGAUUAUACAAUUACAAUAAUAAUCGAUUGAAAUCAUAUCCUUGGGAGACUUUAUGAUAUGUUGAUUUCAGCACGUGUUUGAGUAUUUCACCGAGAGAACUCCUCGAUCUCAGUUUGAGCUUCGUGAGACAUCAUUGGUUUGGAAUUAUAAGUAUGCAGGUUAGGUUAUUAUCGUCGUCAAUUUAUAUUUCCUUUUAUAUAUAUAUUAUAUAUGUUUUUAGAUUAAUUCGAUUUUCACUUUAAUUAUGGGCUACAGAUAUCGAGUUUGGAAGGCUUCAAGCUAAAGACAUGUUGCAGCACCUUUGUACAGGACCCAUAUCAAAUGCAUCCGUAGAAGUUGUUCAGGGUGGCAGGUCCGUUGAGGUUCGCACCACUGGAGUCACCAAGGUUUCCCCUUCUACNNNNNNNNNNNNNNNNNNNNNNNNNNNNNNNNNNNNNNNNNNNNNNNNNNNNNNNNNNNNNNNNNNNNNNNNNNNNNNNNNNNNNNNNNNNNNNNNNNNNNNNNNNNNNNNNNNUAUAUAUCCCAUGGGCAUGUCCCAUCCCAUGUGACAUGCCAUACUGUAUUUGAUGUGCAUUGGACUGGGACCGAUGUCAAAAGGACUUGCUCGGGAUCUCUCGACUCUGCAAAAAGACAUAAAUGCUCUCCUCAUCCUCAUCAUUGAAAAUAGCCCUAGAAAACUUUUCUAGUCUCGUCCCAUGUAACAAAAUGCAUUUUGUUACACUUGAUAGGAAAUGACAGACUGAACAAGCUUUUUAGGGCUAUGUUUGAUGGUGAGGAUGAGAAGGGUAUACACGUCUUUUUCACAUACAACAGAUCAAGAGGGAUUCCUUCCUGCUUUUUUGCGUGAGACAAAAAUUUGCAACUUUAUCAUGUGAUCCGUUUUUCUCCAAUCCUUUUUAGGGUGCAGGAAUUAAACGUAUUUUAGGACAAGUGAUACAUUAUAAAGACACAAGGGAACCAAUCGACUAUGUUCUAUGUGUGGGACAUUUCCUCCCCAAGGUAAAUAUAUAUACCUUUCCAUCUAACCAAAAUACUAUCAUAUACAUACAACUCACUAUCUCUAUAAUCUAUUUAAAUCCUUAUUGUAUUAGGAUGAAGAUCUUUACACAUUUUUUGAGCCAGAGCCACCUACUCCGGUGAGGUCAAGUUUAUCGACCCCGGUCAACGGAUCAUCUUCGGAUCGAAACGGGUCCACAGGACAUAAAAAAUCUCAUCCGUUUCCACCUUCCAACAGCAAACAUAUUAGCAAUGGGGACAAAAAAGAUGCCACACCAUCAAUUCUUGAUCUCAAUAGUAAUAAUUACUUCUCUUGUUCAGUCAAAAGAAAGCGAUCCAGUGCUAGGUAUCUCUUAAGUUCAUCAGCCGAUGUUGUCUCGCUGUUAAAACAAAUGGCAGAUGUUUUAUAGUCGUAAUAAUAGUGAAUACACACACACACACACAAAAUGUUAACAGUGAUAAAUACAUUGCUAGCAUGGAUAAAAGGUAUUUCUUGCAAUAGUAACUCAUGUUACAAAUCUCAAAAGCUAGAAAAAUGUUCUAAAAUGCACUUCUGUGGGGCCCCUUGAGUCGGUGGAUUGCACAUUUUUGUUUUGAAAGUUGUCGGCUUGCCAAUUUUUUCUACACUUGUUGAUAGCAAAUUUUUGUGUAGCUUUUAAGAUGUGGAAAGCAGUCACCUCCUUGUAUGAAAAAUUCACUGAGCUAUUUACAUAUUAUUUUGAGUGCAAUAAUAUUGGAAUUUGUUUAUAUGGUUUAUAGAUCGUGUGGGGAAAUAAGAAACAUUAUAUUAUGUAUUAAUGUAUGAGAAAUUGAGAAUAGUAUUUUGUUGAUUGUGUACUACAUUAAUUUGGUAAAAGUUUAAAAACGAUUUUUUUUCUUAAAAAAAAAUCAGAGAAGACAUUUUUGUUACAAGGUACAAACUAUUAUUGUAAACAUGGAUAACAUACAAUACAAUGGAUCCAAGGGUUAUUUCCAAUUAUAUACAAGUGGGAUGAGUUAUAACGAGGACAUUUUUGUCUUUUCCACAUAUGAAAGAUCUAACAACAAGACCAUGUCCCACCUUUUCUGAGUAGGACAAAAAAAUAUAACUUUUGUCCAACUGACAUUAGUCAAAGUCCCAUGUCACAUGUCAGACAAACACAGUACAACCUGUUAUGUCUGUAUUGGUGCUACACAAUGAGUUGUUAUAGAUUCUAUUCAUCUGAUGUGUAUCUUCUAACCCUAACUCGUUCACCUUUAAAAUGAAUGUAUUUCCAUUGACUUAAGUAUUUUUUAAGGACUAAUUGUUGUUUUUCCUUUUCACCCACUAUUUGAAAAGCACGCGCAACUUUCCUUGUGGUGUCCUCAUCUGGUUUCACUCCAAGUUCCUCCAUGUCUGCAAACACCUGAUUCAUUAUUUACAAGAGAUUAAACUUUACUACAACUUACACAAUAAUUUAAGUUGUAUGUAUGUUGGAAAGCAACAGGAAUUGUUUACCUCUAUAAUAUUUUGGGGCAUGUUAUGAUGAGCAUAAAUGGAUAUGAUUCUUGAAAACAACCUUUUUGAGAUUGAUCUUUCAUGUGUAUGCAAAAUCAUGUUCCAAAAUGACUCUGCUUCAUCUACCCUUUGCUCCAUAUCAAAUGCGUGUAGGAGGGUGUCAAAUGUUCCCAUUGUCAUUCCUUGACCUUUCCCAAACAUCCAUUUCGCCACCUGUACAAUGCCAUGUGUUUGGAAGCUUUUUUAAAAAAAUAUAUAAAUAUAUAUGUUGAGAACAUACUUGAAUGACUCGUUUCCAUUGUUUGCGUUGUUUAAGGAUAUUAAGAGCUUUGGCAACUGCAAUCACUGGGAAUUCUGACUCCCAAGCUGUCCAUUUAUCAAGUUCUCCAUAAACAGCUUCUUUCUCAUUUGGCAAACCACAAACCUGUAAGUAAAUUCACAAAUUUAAUAACUUUAAUAACAAUAAAAAAUAAUAAUAAUAAUAAUAAUAAGCACUUACAAUCCGAACAAGAUUCAAUGCCUUUUGGCCAGAUGCAGCAGAAUCUCUCUUAUUCCAUAAGUGGUGUUCUGUCUUACUUGGCUUUUUGGCAACUUUUCUGCAAUAUUUGUUAAUAAAACUUUAACCUCAACAAUCAAAAUCCUUAAAACAACAAACUAAGUCACAACAUGUCUCAAUAGAUUAUUUAAUAUACAAAGAAAAAUGCAUGAUGACAAAUGGCAGGAAUAAAAGAUAAUUUCAAAAUUGUUGUAUAGAUCUUGAUGACAGAAAAACUUGGUGAAUAGUUAAAAGGGGGAAAAUAGUUCAUUAAGAUUUCGAAAAGGGUGGUUUAGUAAAUAAUCAUAAAUCAAAAUAAAGAAAACAAAGAAGUAGCUUGCUUACCUGUCCACAUCAUUUAACUUGAUGAGCUGUCGAGAACUUUGAUUCUUGGAACACUUGACAACAUGCCAAAUUUCCUGUGUAAAGUCUCAAAAUCAUGAAUUUAAGAGAGGAAACAAAGGCAACUAACAUUCGAAUGUAUUUUAAUAGUGAUUAAAAUGAGAAAACAAGCAGAAUGUUAUAACAAACAAUUGAAAAAACAAGAAAAUUGAUUUGUAUUUAUAAAGGACUCAGUUUGGCAUCAAAGAGAAAAAAACAAGAAAAUUGAAAACAAAUAAAGGGUUGAAUGGUAGGAAUGUAUGUUUACCUUUUGUCUAAUGGAAGGGGUUUUAAUAAAGGAGGAAUCUUGGAUUCCAAACACACCUAUCUAACAACAAGAAUAAGAAACAAAUACAAAAUGAAUAUAAGAUUUAAAGUAGAAGGAAGCUUAGAAAAGACCAUUCUUUUGACCUGAUGAAAUUGGAAAUGACAUUUGAGUUGUCAGCAUGCUUUGUGCUUUCAACAUCUUUGAUCUAUAAACUUCUGUUGGUGGAUCUGAAUAUGAAGCUUUUGCAAUGAAUUGUUAAACUUUCUAAAAAUCAACACCACCUUAUAAACAUAUAUCAUCAAAUAAUAGUACAUAAUCAUAUUGCACUUUUGCCAAAAUCAAAUUCAUACUGAUUUUUAGCAUAUAAAAAUAAUUAGCAGCUAGAUUAACCUUAAUGAAUCGUAAAAGAAAACGGUACCCACUACUUAAUUAGCAAGUGUUUUUUUUUUUUGUAAUUUGCAAAAUUCAUACAUCUGACAUAGUCUGAAUUUAACUUAUAUGUACACAAAUAAACUCAAAUAUAAAAAUCUUUAACUUAAGGCUGCUGAUUUGACUAAUCCAAGUUUUGUAAAAACGUAACGAUUUCUCAAGAGUUGAAAUUAACAAAAAAUUUGGGGAGUUUGAAGUUAGGUUACAAUAUACCUUUUUCUUGGUUAUGUACAAAAAGAGAAAUGAAUGGAAUGAAAAUACUUAACAAUUACAAAAAUACCCAUACAACACAAAAUUCAUAGAAUUCAAUAUAUUCAACAUAAUCUAGUCAAAACUUAUAGUUUUUAUCAUAAUAAUGAGAUACUAAUUGAACUAAAAAACAUAUCAAAGUCUUUUGACUUUUAUUUUGUUAUGUGACUAAUUGAACUCAAUCUUUAAUCAAAUUAUAUAGUUUAGCCACAUUAACUUUCCCCAACUACAAUCUUUAAUCAAAUUCUCUACCUGUAAUUGCCACAUAACAAAAUAAAAGUCAAAAGACUUUGAUAUGUUUUUUAGUUCAAUUAGUAUCUCAUUAUUAUGAUAAAAACUAUAAGUUUUGACUAGAUAAUGUUGAAUAUAUUGAAUUCUAUGAAUUUUGUGUUGUAUGGGUAUUUUUGUAAUUGUUAAGUAUUUUCAUUCCAUUGCAUUUCUCUUUUUGUACAUAACCAAGAAAAAGGUAUAUUGUAACCUAACUUCAAACUCCCCAAAUUUUUUGUUACUUUCAACUCUUGAGAAAUCGUUACGUUUUUACAAAACUUGGAUUAGUCAAAUCAGCAGCCUUAAGUUAAAGAUUUUUAUAUUUGAGUUUAUUUGUGUACAUAUAAGUUAAAUUCAGACUAUGUCAGAUGUAUGAAUUUUGGUUGUUUGGCAGGAUCUGAAUUUUUAAGAGCUGAAUUUUUAAGUAGUCUGAAUUUCUAAGAGGGUCUGAAUUUUUAAGAUCUGAAUUUUCAAAUGUUGUUUGGUUGGAACCUCUGAAUUACAGUGCUGAAUUAUAAAAAUGACUAUUUUACCCUUCUAUUUUAUUUUUCGCUUAAUUUAAUAAUUUUUUUUAUAAAAUAACCAAAUACCAAAUCAACUUUUUUUAUAAACACUAUAUAAAAUCCAAAUUAAACAUAACUGAAAAUUAAUAUUAAUCCAAAUCAAACAUAACACUGUCAACAAUAAAUUUCAACAUAUUUCAGCAAAUGAAAAAAAAUCAGCAACUUAUAUUAGCAAUUAGGAACACAUUUUCUAUAAAAAAAAUCUAUCUGAAGAAUCAGUUGAACUUGUAUAAAAAUUUUAUGAAGAACCAAUCCUCUCAUGUAUAUUCUUCAUUACUAACCAUGAGCUACACCACAAAUCAAUGGAAACAUGACGAAGGAAGAACCAAUCAAGUAUGAAUCAAAAUAAUUAUACCUAAUUACAUCUACUGUUUAUUAAUUUCCUAUACGAAAAACAAAAUUAAUACCUAUGAAAAGAAAAAAAAAACUGUAGAAAAACAUAAAACUGGGAGUGAAUUUCAAAACUCGAUUUUUAGACAUAAAUUUCUGCCUAGAUUCUUAAAAAUCUCGAUUUCAAACAAUUUUCAGGUUUCAAUUUCGAUUUUAAUAACUCGAUUAUGAGAAAAUCGAUUUCAAAUUGGAGAAUGAAAAACACACCCACAGAGAAAGACUGGAGGAAGGCGGUGACCGGUGGUGGUUGUUGGAGAAAUCGAUUUCAUAAACUCAAUUUAAGAAAAUCGAUUUCAGAAAAUUUGGGAGUGAUAGAAUUUCAGGGUGCGUUUAGUUGCGGAAAAAUGAGCCGUUUUCCGGAAAAAUUUUCCAAGAAAAAUGAGAAUUUUGAAAACACGUUUAGUUCGUCUAUUUUUCUAAAUUUUUCAUGGAAAAUGAAAAUUUUCCGUUUUCUAAAAUUACAAAUAGGUUGGAAAUUUUUGGAAAACUGAUAAUCAUUGUUUUCUAUAUUUUUCUAAUUAAAAAUUUUUCUAAAAUAUAAACACACACCCACUCCCACCCCAUUCACCUCUACCUACCCCCACCUUAACACCCUUCACCCACCCACACAUACAUACCCACCCCCACACACACCCACCCGCGCACACACACACACCAACCCACAAACACACACACAUACAUACCCACCCACACACUCACCCACUCGCACACACCAACCCACAAACACACACACACAUACAUACCCACCCACACACACACCCACCCACGCGCGCACACACACACACUAACCCACAAACACACACACAUACAUACCCACCCACCCACACACCCACCCGCGCACACACACACACCAACCCACAAACACACACACACACGUACAUACCCACCCACAUACUCACCCACCCGCACACACCAACCCACAAACACACACACACACAUACAUACCCACCCACGCGCACACACACACACACACCAACCCACAAACACACACACACAUGCAUACCCACCCAUCCACACACACACACACACAUAUACAUACCCACACACACACACCCGCACACACACAUACAUACCCACCCACACACACACACCCACCCGCACACACACACACCAACCCACAAACACACACACAUAUAUAUAUACCCACCCACCUACACACAUACCCGCACACACACACAUACAUACCCACCCACACACACACACCCGCACACACACACCAACCCACCUACACACACACACACCCUCCCGUACACACACACAUACAUACCCACCAACGCAGCCACACACACACACAAACACAUUCACACACCCCCACAAACACACACCCACACACACACAAACCCACACCUACNCCCCCCCCACACACACACAAACCCACACCCACCCCCACCCCCACCCCCACCCUCACAGACCCACACCCAUACACACACAAACCCACACAUACCCCCACAAACACACACAUACACACAUAAAAACACACACUCGCACCCCCAACCACCCAACACCACCACCACAAUCACCGACCUACCACCACCACUACUAACCCGUCACUAGCACCACCACCACCGCUGCCGCCACCAUCACCACCACUACUGACACAAUUGCCGCCGCCACCACCAUCGCCUGUCAUCACCACCACCGUCGUCGACCCGCUACCGUCACCGCCCCCACCCACACCCUACCAACGCUACCGUUUUCUAAAAAUAAAAACCGAUGGAAAAAUACACAUCUAAACAUGUUUUCUAAUUUUCUAAAAUUGAAAAUGAAAAACGAAUAAGUUUAACUAAACGCGUUUUCUAAAUUUUUCAAUGAAAAAUAAAAACGAAAAAUUAAAAUCGAAAAGGGAAAACAAAAAACGGAAAAUGAAAAUUGUUUUUCCGUAACUAAACGCAACCUUAGUGUUUCAAAAGUUAUAAAAUCCUGACUUUUAGGGCUUUUUAAUAUGAAAAGAUGACUUUUAAUACAAACACAUUUUAAAAAUGACUAUAUUUUGAAAAAAGUCCCUAACCAAAAAAUCAUUUUACAAAAAGAAUUUUUAACAUCAAAAAUAAUCCCAAACACCCCUAAGAUGGACUUUAUUCCUAUUUCCAUUGGUCACAAACUACUACUUCUUGAAUUCUUGUCGCCUUGUUCAAUGCGUAUCAACUAUUUAUUUCAAAAACUAAUAUUAAAUUCUUGCUCAAUUUAUGUAACAAAACACUCUAGUUUCCGUAGUAUUUAACUACACUAAAUGACAUGGCAUUUUGUUAAGGAUGUACAUAGGAUUUUUUUUAAAGCCAUAUAGGAUAAGAUAAUGAUAGCAUCUAUAUACUAUGUUGUAAUUUUGUAAGGAGUGGUAGCAAGUAGCAACUAAAUAUUACUGUUAUUUUAUUUUGGAAUAAAAUAAAAAGAAAAAGAACCCAUUUCUCUUCUCUUUCAUGCCUUCAAGUAGACUUUUCGUAUGCCUAUGGUAAAUGAAAAUCCAUGUACCAAGCUUCAAAUUUACACUACAUUUUCCCAUGACUCAUAAUAUAUUCGAAGUCAACUCUUUUAAAGAAACUAUUUUGUUAAUACUAAAAAUCUAAUACAUGCAACCCUAACAUUCGUUAAUGUGCACAAACUAAUUCUUUACAUUGAGUUAACCACACUAUAACCCGGAGGCUUAUGAACACCUACUCCAACCAUAACAUUCCUCAAAAAGGCAGCAUGACCCCAAUUCUCAACAUCAGCAUAAAGACUCGAUAAAACUAUAUAUUGACCACAUUGUUGAGGGUCUACCUCAAGAAGCCUUUUAGCCACCUCAUUUCCUAAAUCAAUAUCCCCAUGAAGUUUACAAGCUCCCAAAAGAGCACCUAAAACAGAGGCAUCAGCCUCAAAUGGCAUCCUACUUAUGAAAUCUUUUGCUUCUGCUAAAAACCCUGAUCUACCCAAUAAAUCAACCACACAUCCAUAAUGUUCCAUUUUUGGAACAACACCAAAUUGAGGCAACAUUGAGUAGAAUAAUUCUAAACCUAAAUUUAUAAGGUUGCAAUUUGAAGAAGCAGCAAGAAUCCCAACAAAAGUAACUUCAUUUGGAUGAUACCCUUCAAUCUUCAUCUUAUCAAACAUUUCUAAAACCUUUUUGUCUUUUCCAUGUGAAGAUAGAGCACAAAUCAUUGCAUUCCAUGUGCAUGUUUCCUUUUUCAACAUACUUUCAAACACUUUUGUGGCGUAAUCUAAAUGACCCGUUUUCCCAUAUAAAUAUAUCAGUGAUGUCCCGAUAAAGGGAGUUAUUUGAUUCUCGUUCUUGAUAAUAUACCCAUGUAUCUGCUUCCCAAAUGUAACAGAAUGAGCACAAGCAGAAAGUACACUAACGAAUGUAGCUUCAUUAGCUUUCACAGAACAAUCUCUUAAACACCUUUGAAAAAACCGAAUUGCAGUGUCGUAACACCCUCUCUUGCUGUACCCGUUGAUGAUGGUAGUCCAUGAAUAAACAUCCCUCACAGGCAUUGAUUCGAAGAAGGAAACAGCAGAACCCAUAUCCCCAUUCUUGCAAAACCCAUCAAGCAUAGCGUUACAGGAAACAAGGCAUGGUUCAGGCAUUUCAUCGAACACCUUUUGUGCAUAGGAAAGACAGUUGCUUUUAGCAUACAAAUGAAUGAAUGAUGUUUGUACAAAGGGAUCUGAUAAUACUCCGCGCUUGAGGGCUUGAGUGUAAAGGGGUUUAGCGAUGAGGGAAGGGGUUGUAUAAGCAGCAACGGUGGCUUUGGUUAGUGAAGGGAAAGUAUGGGGGUUUGGUGGGAUGUUAUGGGAAAGCAUGUGGGUGAAAAGGAGUAAGGUAGUGUGAGGGAGAUGGAUAUUGAGGUAAGCUCUGAUGAGAGUGUUGUAGAGUAAGGUGGGUAUCCAUUUGAAGGUAGAUGAGUUGGGGUUAGGGUUAGGGUUAGGGAGGAGAUUACCGCUGAUGAUGAGGAGGGAAUGGAUUUGCUUGAUUUGGAUGGAGUUUUUGAUGAAACGUUGAAGGAGUUGCAGUAGAGAUUCCGGCGAGAGAAACAUCCCGGAGCCAAUUCAUUGGAUGGUCAGCUGAAGUAACGAGACAGUAUAAGAUACGUAUUUAAUUAUUAAUUAAAAAUUUUAAAAUGCAAGCAUAGAUUCUGAAUUUUAAUAAGGAAAAUAGAAACGACAAAAUUUCACCUAUUUUUAUAUUUUUUUUAAAAAGAAUAUCCAAAAAAAAAAAUUACAUAUAUAGCUAUCAAAAUUGUAGAUGGGCUUUUUGUCAUUUUGCAGUGACGAAAUCGUAGAUAGCAAUGAUUUCUUCCGACAUGUUAACUUUACAUUCUAUUAAUUCAAUAAGCAUCAUGUUAACUUUACAUGCUAUUAAUUCAAAAUUAUGUACUCAAAGCUGCAUGGUUUCAUUCUACAGUUCAUCCCUCAACUAAUACUAACCAUAGAAAAUAUGUGAGUCGAUCUUAAACGUAAUAUGCAUCAUAGCUUAAAAAAGUUUGGUUUUUAAAUGCAUAAAACUAACUAGAACAAGGUAUUAUCAUGACGGAUCUAAUAAAGAAUUUGUCUAUAACUACAAGCAAAAGAACAACUAAUUUCAAUAUUUCAUCAAUGGAAAGCCAAAAUCUACAACUACUUUCAAAUAUUUCAUCAAGACAUGAAGACAACUUAUAAAUCUCUACUUCUCAAAGCAAAAGAACAACUACUUUUAGAUUUUUAGUAACUUACUUGUUUCAUUCUUGGAGUUGGAGUUGGAGCUUCUUGUCCAAAAAAAGACCCAAUGGGACCUUAAAUUUAAAUAUUUAAACAACUUAAGCAAAAAGAUUUCAACAAAACUCAACAUGUAAGCAAGACAAUUAGACAAGUGAAAUUGUCGUCAAUGAGAUUGGAACUUUAGGCAACAGAUAGACAACAAAACUCAAUUACUAAUUUCAGAAACCUACCGGUGAACUUUGGAAACUCAAACCUACAACCAAUUUCAAUAUUUCAUCAAUAAUUCAACAUCAAGAUAUGAAGAUAACUAAUUUCAAGUUUCAACAAGUAAUAACUACAUGCUAACCUUAAUCAAAUAAACCUAAUUGCUAAUUUCAAGUUUUCAAGAAAAUGACACAUAAUUGAAAUAACUCUAAGAACUUUGCUUAAAUGCUUAAUGCUUACUUGUUGCAUUCUUGCAUGUUCAGAGGGAAGUCGCUGAAGCUGUGGAACUGCCGGCGUGGCAGUGAAGGCUGCCGGAAAAGUCGAUGGGAGUGGGUGGAGCAGGGUCGUGAGGGUGAGGCGCUAUGUGCCGCUGGACAGUGGCAUGUGCCUGUUUCUUUUUCAUUCCCUCAUCAGCUUAUCUGUAUCAUCCCAAGACUCAAAUUGAUUAAGAGGGUGUUUAACCUCUUGGGCUUUUUGUUGUUCUUUUUUUUUUAUCUUUUUACACUUAACUCUUUUUGUUUGGGUUGUCAAAUCUUUCAAAUUUAGACUCCUUUGUUGUAUUUUUUUAUCUUUUUACAUUUAGCUCUUUUUGUUUGGGUUGUCAAUCUUUCAAAUUUAGACUGUUUCUUUGGACAUAGAAACUUAAGUGUAGCCCAAGUAUUUUUCAAUGGUUGUAUUUAUAUGAAAAAAAAAUUAACACUAUUUAAGAAAAUUUGAGGAGUAGGUUGGGCCUAUACACAAGUCUCUAAUUGCAGUUUUGUAGUUGAACAACUUGAUGUUUUUCCAUCAUCGGUGUUAACGAUAAUCACUUUACCAUGUAUAUUUUAUAUUAGGCAUGUAAACCGGUCUAGAAUCAGACCGAACUGAAUACUUGGUUUCGGUUUUGAUUUGGUUCUACUAAGAAAUGUGUCAUCUAAGAAGGUGUUCGAAAUCGGAACCGGACCGGAACUGAAAACCAAAUAAGCCGUAAAUUGAAAACCGAAAACCGGACCAAAUACCAUUAUUUGGGUCCAAUUGGUUCUGACUCUGUUUCGGUUUUUCAGUUAAAAAGCUCAUCCCUACUCUAGACUAUUUACAGUACGAGCUCUAAGACAUAACAUUAUGGGCGCUUAAUCAAUAGCUCCCUUUCAUAUGAUAUAGAGUUUGAGCUCAAAUAUUUACUAGCAUAAAUGCUCUAUCGAGAGAGGAAAAAUGUAACAUCCCAAAAAUACGAUCCAAAAAUUCCGUUUAAAAUCAUUAAUAAAAACCAUAAUUAUCAACCAUUUCAUUCAUAAACCAAAAUCGUUAUAUCAAAUCAGAGUUUCAUCUCAAAACAUGUUCUUUUUAUCAGAGUAAACAUCUCAGGCUAAAACUUCUUGAUUGAGGAUUGGGUGAGUUGGGAGUUCAUAAAACGUUCCAACAUUUGGUUCACGUUUUCCUUGGCACCAGAUAACGGGUUUAGGGAACCAGGUUAGAGGUCCAGCUAGGACUCAAGUUCGAUUGUGUGUUAGGUCGAGUGUGUGUUCGACCCAAUAUGGAAGGUGUUGCCAGACUACGGGGGUAGCUGUAGCAUUCACUAACAGUCAGAUGGUAUAAAAAGUGUUGUAAGACUACGGGGGUAGCCAUAGCAUUCACUAACAGUCAGAUGGUAUGGAAAGUGUUGUAAGACUACGGGGGUAGCCGUAGCAUUCACUAACAGUCAGAUGGUAUGGAAAGUGUUGUAAGACUACGGGGGU
rnacentral:lncRNA from 1 species